GGGGGUCCGCGUUGUAAUUUGUAGAGGAUGAUUCGGCGAGGGCUCCCGCCUAAGUCCCCUGGAACGGGGCGUCAUAGAGGGUGAGAAUCCCGUAUGCGGUGGGCUGCCUUAGCCAUGUGAAUCUCCUUCGACGAGUCGAGUUGUUUGGGAAUGCAGCUCUAAAUGGGAGGUAAAUUUCUUCUAAAGCUAAAUACCGGCCAGAGACCGAUAGCGCACAAGUAGAGUGAUCGAAAGAUGAAAAGCACUUUGGAAAGAGAGUUAAAAAGUACGUGAAAUUGUUGAAAGGGAAGCGCUUGCAGCCAGACUUGUCCGCAGUUGCUCAGCCGGUCUCCUGACCGGCGCACUCUUCUGCGGCCAGGCCAGCAUCAGUUCGGGCGGUCGGAUAAAGGCCCCGGGAACGUAGCUCCUCUCGGGGAGUGUUAUAGCCCGGGGUGGAAUGCGGCCAGCCUGGACUGAGGAUCUCGCUUCGGCUAGGAUGCUGGCGUAAUGGCUGUAAGCGGCCCGUCUUGAAACACGGACCAAGGAGUCUAACAUCUAUGCGAGUGUUUGGGUGUCAAACCCAUGCGCGUAAUGAAAGUGAACGGAGGUGGGAACCCUCGCGGGUGCACCAUCGACCGAUCCUGAUGUCUUCGGAUGGAUUUGAGUAAGAGCAUAGCUGUUGGGACCCGAAAGAUGGUGAACUAUGCCUGAAUAGGGUGAAGCCAGAGGAAACUCUGGUGG
rnacentral:rRNA from 1 species